UACAGAGGUGGCAAGCGUUGUUCGGAAUCAUUGGGCGUAAAGCGCGUGUAGGCGGCUUCGUAAGUCCGUUGUGAAAGUCCAGGGCUCAACCCUGGAAUGCCGAUGGAUACUGCGGAGCUAGAGUCCGGAAGAGGCGAGUGGAAUUCCUGGUGUAGCGGUGAAAUGCGCAGAUAUCAGGAGGAACACCAAUGGCGAAGGCAGCUCGCUGGGACGGUACUGACGCUGAGACGCGAAAGCGUGGGGAGCAAACAGG
rnacentral:rRNA from 1 species